rnacentral:rRNA from 1 species
UACGGAGGGUGCAAACGUUGCUCGGAAUCAUUGGGCGUAAAGCGCGUGUAGGCGGCCCGAUAAGUCCGCUGUGAAAGUCCAGGGCUCAACCCUCGAAUGCCGGUGGAUACUGUCGGGGCUAGAGUGCGGAAGAGGCGAGUGGAAUUCCUGGUGUAGCGGUGAAAUGCGCAGAUAUCAGGAGGAACACCGGUGGCGAAGGCGGCAUCCGUGGACCAAUAUUGACGCUGAGGAGCGAAAGCCAGGGGAGCAAACGGG